UCAAAAUUAAAUUUAAACUGUAGUUAUUUUAAAAUAAUGUUUAGAUUUGCGAUACGGAUAUGCGCAAGACGUCCCACGCACGCAUUAAGCGGCUGUAAGGGUCACGCCCGCGUUGACAAGCAUUGCAGACUGUUUCGCGAACUGAUACAUUCUUUUGUCUUCCAUGCUGCACAUCAUUGUAAGGCCAGUAGAGCCUUAAAGAAGUUUUAUUUUAGACCCCAACAAUCCCACAAUGCCGUACUACUAUGAGGUAGUACCUCAACAGACCGCUCGCUCCUCUGUUCCGCGAUAACUCUGUGCCGCAGCAAAACAAUCAAUAAAUCUUUUUAUUUACUCAAAAUAAAAAUGACUUCAUUGCUUAUAUCGCAAUUUGUCUUGCGAAGAUCAGGAAACGUUUCGGCGCCGCAGCAGAGGCCUCCUUGACCGCAUGGCCUGUCUCUUCUUCCCGGUCCGGCCCAGCCUGCCAGUCAGUAACAGUUAACCAUAUUCGCUUUAAAAAUAUCAUUAAGUUCUUCUUCAACAAUCCAAGCAGCCGGCAUCCGUACCCGCCCAGGACACAAUUGUACCGCGGCAAGCGAUCUUAGUACAUCGUCCGCCCUGAUCAACCUGUAGGCGAACCAGAUUAAAUCCUCAGCUGACAAGCCUUACGCAUCUGCUAUCCAGGACGCAGUUUGCAGUAUGGUGCACUGCAAAGAGACGCGGCAGACGCUGCAACUUCGCGACUCAUUCCCUUCUUGGACAUCAAGUCAGGCCCUUGCUGUCGUAUUGGGAAGAGAUUGGGGACCCGAAUGCUAUCCGGAAAAUCCUUGCGACCAGGUGUGGGCAAUGGGUCAGAGUGGCGUUGGAAAUGUAGAAGAGCUGACCAGGAACUAAGUUGAGGCGCCGUUGAUCCGCUAGAUUUGGUUGGAUGCUGGUGGUGAGUUGCUGAACCCAACGAAUACAUUCUUAAGUCGGAUGGGGUGACGGAUUAGGGUGCCCCUCUCGCAGGGGAGAGCAGGGACUGCCUCGGGAAAGGGGGCCGCUGGUGAAGCUUAACCACCCUGUAACGACAUACAUAGAAGAGAGAGGUACAUGCCAACAGGAGAGAAUGCCGUGUUGUUAAGCAAGUGGUGGGAGCCUGCAGGCUCCACAGCUGUGGAAGUGGGAUUCGACGUACAAAGCCUACAGAAAAAACAUAUAUGAAAGGGCCAUGGCAGACCGUAUGGUAGUUGUGCAUAAGAGCUUACUGUGCAAGGUUAUAGUCGCAAGCCUGGCACCGGAAAGGCAAAUGUUUGCGGGGGCAAUCCAACUGGCGCUACACAAAUUUUUAGCGAUGCAGAACCCUUUCUCACACCAAAAUACGCGUGCUUAUCAUUUGCCAAAUAAUCGG
rnacentral:lncRNA from 1 species